rnacentral:rRNA from 1 species
CAGAACGAACGCUGGCGGCGCGUUUUAAGCAUGCAAGUCGGACGGCAGCGGGGAGCAAUCUCCGUGAGAGUGGCGAACGGGUGAGUAACACGUAGGUGAUCUGUCUCUGUUUUGGGGAUAGCCUGUGGAAACAUGGGGUAAUACCGGAUACGCUCUAGGGAGUAAAGGCCCUGGAGGGAAGGCGCGUAUGCGCCGAACGGGGAUGAGCCUGCGGCCCAUUAGCUAGUUGGCGGGGUAAGAGCCUGCCAAGGCGACGAUGGGUAGCCGGCCUGAGAGGGUGAACGGCCACACUGGGACUGAGAUACGGCCCAGACUCCUACGGGAGGCAGCAGCUAAGAAUCUUCCGCAAUGGGCGCAAGCCUGACGGAGCGACGCCGCGUGAACGAAGAAGGCCGAAAGGUUGUAAAGUUCUUUUCUCUGUGAAGAAUAAGGGGGCGAGGAAAUGCGCCUUUGAGGACGUUAGCG